GCCCCGGUAGCUCAGGUGGCGGAGAUCACCGGCUUGGUAAGCCGGGGGUCGCGGGUUCAAGUCCCGCCCGGGGCU
rnacentral:tRNA from 1 species